rnacentral:rRNA from 1 species
GGGGAAUAUUGCGCAAUGGGCGAAAGCCUGAUGCAGCGACGCCGCGUGAGUGAGGAAGGUCUUCGGAUUGUAAAACUCUUUUCUUAGAGAAAAAUGUCUUAGUAGCUAAUACCUAUUAGGAGUGAUGGUAUCUAAGGAAUAAGCACCGGCUAACUUCGUG